UGGGGAAUCUUGCACAAUGGGGGCAACCCUGAUGCAGCGACGCCGCGUGAGCGAUGAAGCCCUUCGGGGCGUAAAGCUCUUUCGACCGGAACGAUAAUGACGGUACCGGGAGAAGAAGCUGCGGCUAACUACGUGCCAGCAGCCGCGGUAAUACGUAGGCAGCAAGCGUUGUUCGGAGUUACUGGGCGUAAAGAGUGCGUAGGCGGUUUUCUAAGUUCGGUGUGAAAUCUCCCGGCUUAACUGGGAGGGUGCGCCGAAGACUGGGAAGCUGGAGUGUGGGAAAGGCAGGCGGAAUUCCUGGUGUAGCGGUGAAAUGCGUAGAUAUCAGGAGGAACACCGGCGGUGUAGACGGCUUGCUGGACCAUAACUGACGCUGAGGCACGAAAGCGUGGGUAGCAAACA
rnacentral:rRNA from 1 species